rnacentral:rRNA from 1 species
GAUGAACGCUGGCGGCGUGCCUAAUACAUGCCAGUCGAGCGAAGCGGGGACGGGUGAGUAACACGUGGAUAACCUCCUAUAAGACUGGGAUAACUUCGGGAAACCGGAGCUAAACCGGAUACUUAUAGUUGUAUCCGCGCUGCAUUAGCUAGUUGGUAAGUUAACGGCUUACCAAGUCAACGUUGCAUAGCCGACCUGAGAGUGUGAUCGGCCACACUGGAACUGAGACACGGUCCAGACUCCUACGGGAGGCAGCAGUAGAGAAUCUUACGCAAGGGGCGAAAGCCUGACGGAGCAACGCCGCGUGAGUGAUGAAGGUCUUCGGAUCGUAAAACUCUGUUAUUAGGGAAGCGGUACCUAAUCAGAAAGCCACGGCUAACUACGUGCCAGCAGCCGCGGUAAUUC